AUAAUACUCCGUCCGUCCUAAAAUUCUUGUCUUAGAUUUGUCUAGAUACGGAUGUAUCAAGUCAUGUUUUAGUAUUAGAUACAUUCGUAUCUAAACAAAUUUAAGACAAGAAUUGUGGGACGGAGGGAGUAAUAG
rnacentral:pre_miRNA from 1 species